CAGGCUUAACACAUGCAAGUCGAACGCCCCGCAAGGGGAGUGGCAGACGGGUGAGUAACACGUGGGAACAUACCCUUCGGUACGGAACAACUCGGGGAAACGCGAGCUAAUACCGUAUACGCCUUGGCGGGGAAAGAUUUAUCGCCGAAGGAUUGGCCCGCGUCCGAUUAGCUAGUUGGUGAGGUAAUGGCUCACCAAGGCGACGAUCGGUAGCUGGUCUGAGAGGAUGGCCAGCCACAUUGGGACUGAGACACGGCCCAAACUCCUACGGGAGGCAGCAGUGGGGAAUAUUGGACAAUGGGCGCAAGCCUGAUCCAGCCAUGCCGCGUGAGUGAUGAAGGCCUUAGGGUUGUAAAGCUCUUUCAUCAGGGACGAUAAUGACGGUACCUGAAGAAGAAGCCCCGGCUAACUUCGUGCCAGCAGCCGCG
rnacentral:rRNA from 1 species